UACGUAGGGCGCAAGCGUUGUCCGGAAUUAUUGGGCGUAAAGAGCUCGUAGGUGGUUUGUUACGUCUGCUGUGAAAACCUAGGGCUUAACCCUGGGCCUGCAGUGGAUACGGGCAGACUAGAGGUAGGUAGGGGAGAAUGGAAUUCCCGGUGUAGCGGUGAAAUGCGCAGAUAUCGGGAGGAACACCGGUGGCGAAGGCGGUUCUCUGGGCCUUACCUGACACUGAGGAGCGAAAGUGUGGGGAGCGAACAGG
rnacentral:rRNA from 1 species